rnacentral:rRNA from 1 species
CAAGAAUAUUAGUCAAUGCUCGCAAGAGUGAACUAGCUAACUGAAAUCAUUUGUGUGUCACAAGUGAUAACGUAAGGGAAAAUAAUGAUAUUACCUUACUAUUAGUGUCGUCCAAAGCUGGUGCCAGAAGACUCGGUAAGGCCAGAGACGCAAACGUUAGUCGUCUUUAUCAGGCGUAAAGGGUUUGUAGGCUGCUUUGAAAGUUUAUAAUUUAAUAUAGCCAUAGUAAAUUAGAGAUGAAUUAAAGCUAGAAUCAAAUAGAGGUUAUAUUAAAGAAUACUUAGUGUAGGGUCGAUAUCCUUAGAUACUAAGGGGAAUACUCAAGGCGAAGGCUUUUUUCCAUUAAUGAUUGACGCUGAGAAACGAAAGGGAGGACAGGAAAUAGGAUUAGAUACCCCGGUACCCCUCCCUGUAAACGAUGAAUGGUGGUUGCUAGUUUAAUAACUGGUGGCGAUGUUAACACGAUAACCAUUCCGCCUUGUGAGUACGACUGCAAAGUUGAAAACAAAAAAAUUAGUCGGUCUCGAAGCAAACGAAGUGAAGCAUGUUAUUUAAUUCG